rnacentral:tmRNA from 1 species
GGGGCUGACCGGAAUUGACAGCAUCGUUCUUUGUAAGUAAGCAUGUGGUGCAUUGGGAGCCAAGCACCUGAAUCUUUAACUCCCGACGCCAUACUUGGCAACUCUAAUUACGCAAUGGCUGCCUAAUCGCAACGCGGUUACAGCUGUUUGUUCCCUGCGGAUUGCGCCUGACAAGCUGCUACGGAACAUCGAAAAGUCAGGCUGGCGGUGAUUUGGUUUCUUGAUCUGCCGCAAGAAAAUACAGAAACUAAGAAGCCUGGUCGGGCGCCUUUCCCCAGCCAGCUUCCGACAAUCAAUGAAAGGAUAAACAUGUAGAAAGCUUACGAUCGCCUUGUCUGGACGAGGGUUCAAAUCCCUCCAGCUCCACAA